CAUCAAAAACCAAGUCUCUAAGCAAUGGAUGUCUUGGCUCCUCACACGAUGAAGAACGUGGCAUAAUGUGUUAAGUAACCGGAGUUGCAAACAUCAUGACAGGUUAAUCUUUGAAUGCAAAUUGCGCUAAACUCGAUCUCGGUCGAGAAGCAUGGGUGUGACAGUACUACAUCUUUUAUAAUAAUUCUUAUUCUAAGCGAAUAAGUAAAUAAUAUAUAAGACAAACAACACGUAGUCUGCCAUACGCAGGAAGACCCGCUGAACUGAAGCAUCUCAUUAAGCGGAGGAAAAGAAACUAACUAGGAUUCCCUUAGUAAAGGCGAUCGAAAAGGGAACAGCCCAACGUCUUAAUCCCGCAAGGGAAAUGUAGUCGGUUCA
rnacentral:ncRNA from 1 species